GCCCGUCUAGCUUAGUUGGUAGAGUGCAAGGCUUUUAACCUUGGUGGUCGUGGGUUCGAGCACCACGGUGGGCG
rnacentral:tRNA from 1 species